GGGAGUGAAGCCUGCCGCCAUGUCCUGACCACCAUUGGCCCCCACACGUUGGGGUGUUGCUCCAGGAUAUUGCUUCAGAAAAGGGGAAGUGGAGAGGAAUGAAAACAGGGGACCAGUUAGCAGGUUGCUGUGUUAAUCGAGUUCCCAGCACAGUGGUGGCACCAAGCCAUGCUCAGAAGUUGAAGAAAUGAACCAAGGAAGUCUCAAGGGUGAGAAUGGAAACUGGGUGGCUGCGCAUCUAUUUCCUCAACCCUCUGUCCUCACCGCCAACCAAAUCCCCCUGGCGCCAAGCUUGAGCAUCCUGCUUGGCAGUCCACAUACCUGUGUACAUGGAGGCCAUGCCCCUGAGCACACCCUCGUGCAGGAAGAGUGGACGGUUAUGCGUAGCCAGGACUGACAUGAAGUCAUCACUCUGGUAAUUUGGGCAACUUCCUUGAGUUCAAAUCUUUGCUCAUAGCUGCUUUGGGCUACUGCUGUGUGAUGAAAUGGUGUAACUCACAUACAUGUAACUCCUCUGCCUGCGCCUUCGAGGCAGUCAAAGGAUGCAAGUUUUCCCUGUGACGGGUUAGCGGGGCUGGUUGGAAUUUAUC
ensembl:lncRNA